GGCACUACGUUUCCCUGAUUGCCUCCGACGAAUGUGGUCUCCGCGACCGAUAUCGGCGGUAAUAAUGUGCGUAGAGAGCUCCUGCUGGGAACAUGCCAUCUUACGGGACAGCCAAAGAAAUGAACUUACUACGGGUGGAGGGCUUGCGCACCCUUCGGUCAUGGCGUGCUCGUGAUACAUGAAACUGUGUAGCAGAGUGUUGUUCGGGUGGAGGCCGGCUGCUGAAGCUUCCGCCGCGCCUCCCAGUCCUCCCAACCCUCCCAACCCUGCCAGGCUUCCCCCGCCACCCUCCGAAAGCUGGAACGUAGCGUACGGCGAGAUGUCCUCCGCUGUCUCUGUAACCCACCAGAGGCAUUGCCUACCUUUCAAAUCGCGUUGGGAUGAAUUUUUUAUGUGAGAAUCGAUUUUUAUCUGCUUUACUAUAGAAUGAUUUUACUUUCAUUUUGUAAUUUCUCUGUUACAAUUUCUAACGUGAACUAUGAUUCUUGAGAAGCAACUGGUUUCUUGAGGAGAAUAUCACGAGACUAUCAUCAUCAAUCAAACGCAGCUCUGAAUUUUUUGGUUUAUUCUGUUAAUAAAUGUUUUUGAAUGUAUAGAAUAAAAUAUCCAAUAAUGUAACUACAAUAAUAUUCUUUUAUAUCAGAAUACAUUUUUUUAUAAUAUUCUCCUGAGAGCAGAAUUGACUACAAAUCUCUCUAAUGAGUUCUCGUCACUAUUAAUUUAGAAAUUUUAGUGAUAUCUUAAGUGAUACAGUUUCUAAAAAGUUACAGAGGGUGGUCGAUGAAGGCAGAAGCAAUGCAUGAUGAAGUGUCGAAUGAAAUAUGCAGUGGAACACGAGUGAAACAUUCAAGAUCGGUCGCAUAAAGGGUAAAAAGAAAAAAGACGAUGAUCUAUGGUGAUGAAAGGAAGAUGUAAAAUAAUCCACCUUUGCUUUGUGAACUGCAAUCGAACGCUAACGGGUCUGCCCACUUUGGUUGAACAGCGCUACGCGUGCGAUUUUCUUUUACCUGAACAACAAUUAUAGUACCAAACCUGGCUGUCGUCCGUAUCGUAACAAAGGUUCACCUGGAAUCUUGUCGGGCCCUCCACCCGUAUUCGCCGCUUGUUGUAAAGCCACCUUGUGAAUCGUCGCGUAGUAACGCUCUCUUUGAGUUUCGGCAUUCUGUUGAUUCUCUUGAGUCUCUUUCAUGGGACGCUGCAUUCUGUCUCCGAGAUAUCCUUAUAUAUAAAUAGAAAUAAAAUAUGUAUGUACCCUGUAUGAAUAAAUAGGAUUUAUUUACAAUAUA